AUGGAGGAGGCGGCAGCCGGCGCCGGCGAGGAGGAGGUGUACUGCGCGGUGGGGAAGGAGCAGUGGAACUGGAAGGCGAACCUGCGGUGGGUGCUGGCCAACUUCCCCGGCCGCCGCCUCGUGCUCGCCCACGUCCACCGCCCGCCGCACCGCAUCAACAUGAUGGGGGCGUGGGUGCCGGUGAGCCAGGUGGGAGCAGCCAUGGUGGCAGCGUGCAGGAAGUGGGAGGAGGACGAGGCCAGCGAGGCCCUCGACCAGCUGCUCCGCAUCUGCAAAGCCCACCGCGUGGACGCGCGCAAGGUCAUCGUCUCCGGCGACGACCUGGCGGGUGGGCUGGUGCAGCUCGUCGCCGACCAUGGCGUCGGCGAGCUCGUCAUGGGCGCCGCCGCCGACCGGGCCUACUCGAGGAAGAUGCGGGCGCCCAAGUCCAAGAAGGCGGCCACCGUGCAGCUCAAGGCCAGCCCCUCUUGCAGGAUCUGGUUCGUCUGCAAAGGCAAGCUUAUCUGCACCAGAGAGGCCAGCGACGAGGGGCUGAUAAGCAGAGGAGAGCCAUCCACGGCGAGCACCAGCCCACGGCCAACCGCCUCCGACUGCUCGACAUCGGCAUCCUCGUCGCACCGGCACGGCGAUGGCGCCGCCGAGCCGGUCGGCAUCCACGACUCGACCACGCCCUCACACCAUGGUUCGGGUGACGCGAUGGAGAUGGACGAUUCGUUCGCGGAGAAGCUCAAGGCCGAAGAGACUCGCCCGCAACCUGAAGCUGUGGUGGAAUCCAUGCCCGUGACGGAUGGUGAUCAUGGUGCCAGUGUCUUGCGGUUCGGUUUGCCGGAGCUGGAGGCGGCCACAUGCCGUUUCGGCGAGUCUGCCAGGAUCGGCAUUGCCGGCAUUGGCCGCGCCGGCGUGUACAGAGGGAGCCUGCGCGGCGUGAGCGUCGCCGUCAGGGUCAUCUCCCCCGAUGCCGCCGUCGGCGAGGCACGGUUCGCUCGCGAGGCCGACGCCAUCGGCAGGUUAAGCCACCCGAGCCUCGUCGCGCUCGUUGGCACGUGCCCGGAGGCGCGCGCCGUGGUGCACGAGCUCGUGCCGGCCGGGAGCCUGGAGGACCGCCUCGACCAAGGAGGCGAGGGGACGCUGCCGCCGCUGCCGUGGAUGGCGCGGUGCCGCGUGGCACACCAGGUCUGCUCCGCGCUGGCCUUCCUCCACGCGUCAUUCAAGACGGUGCACGGCGACGUUCGUCCGACGAACAUCCUCCUGCUAGAUCAGGCCGACGAGCGGCGCUCCUCCAUUAAACUCGCCGGCCUCGGCAUGCGCGGGCUCCUGGCGCAGGCGGAGCAGCAACGGGCCGGACGCGAGGCGCUGGCGUACGUGGACAAGCGGUACGUCGCGACGGGGGAGCCGACCCCGCAGUGCGACGUGCACGCCCUGGGCCUGCUGCUCCUCCGGCUGGUCACGGGCCUGCCGGCGCGUUGGGCGAAGAAGGCGGCGCUGGAGGCCGCCGCCGGCGGGGGCAGAGCCUGGCAGCAGGUGGUGGACGCGAGCGCAGGGGGGUGGCCGACGGAGGUGGCCACCGAGGUGGCGCUCCUCGGGCUGAGGUGCUGCGCCGUGAGCGACGGCAGAGUGGCGUGUCGCCCGGCCGGUGAGCUGCUCGAGGAGGCGCGCGCCGCGCUGGAGGCCACGAUGGACGCCGCGCCGGGCCGGACGUGGUCUUCAUCACUGCUGUCAUCGUCGGAGACGGAGGCGUCUAACGGCGGCGGCGCGCGGCCCGUCCUACAUCCUCUGCCAGAUAAUGAGGAUCCAAAUAAUAAUAUGUGUGCCAGCAGCAGCAGGUCCACUAGGUAG
rnacentral:rRNA from 1 species